ACGUCAGUUCAGUUGACAAUUAGCUGUCCAUAUCAGCGCACAGUUAUGUUUAUGUAGAUAACCCGUCGUAUUCCAUAGCAUUAGUUAUUUAAUUUCCGACGAGUAAAACCCUAACAAACCACCGUGACGUCGGCGAGUCGCUUAAAACCCCAGUGCGUCAGUGCCGUUCGUGCCAGUGGGAACCCGCCGAAACGCGCUCCGAAACCAUCAACAAAAAUCGGACGACCAACAUCCGACCCGCCGACAAUGAGGAAUCCGAAAAGCCCGACGUACAAUCUCCGGAUUUACUAGGU